GACGAACGCUGGCGGCGUGCUUAACACAUGCAAGUCGAACGGAAAGGCCCUGCUUUUGUGGGGUGCUCGAGUGGCGAACGGGUGAGUAACUCGUGAGUAACCUGCCCUUGACUUUGGGAUAACUUCAGGAAACUGGGGCUAAUACCGGAUAGGAGCUCCUGCUGCAUGGUGGGGGUUGGAAAGUUUCGGCGGUUGGGGAUGGACUCGCGGCUUAUCAGCUUGUUGGUGGGGUAGUGGCUUACCAAGGCUUUGACGGGUAGCCGGCCUGAGAGGGCGACCGGCCACAUUGGGACUGAGAUACGGCCCAGACUCCUACGGGAGGCAGCAGUGGGGAAUAUUGCACAAUGGGCGGAAGCCUGAUGCAGCAACGCCGCGUGCGGGAUGACGGCCUUCGGGUUGUAAACCGCUUUCGCCUGUGACGAAGCGUGAGUGACGGUAAUGGGUAAAGAAGCACCGGCUAACUACGUG
rnacentral:rRNA from 1 species